rnacentral:pre_miRNA from 1 species
AGUAGGAUAACUGGGUCAAAUGGUGGUUUCAUUCCAAGUUGUCUGAGGAAUUUCCAGAUUGCUUUCCAUAGUGGUUGCACCAACUUGCCAUCCUACCAGCAAU